AGCACAAAUGCUGGGCUCCUGGCAUGGCUUCCUCUGGUAAAAACGUUUUCUGACAAUGAGAUGUGAGGUUGGACCAUGUCCUCUUGGUUAAUUAACAUGUAGCUGUGAUGCCUUCUCUGUGGCGGGCACGCCUUGCUGGUAUCAGGCUCCGCCAGCCCUCUAGGGGAGAGAAGUGACUCUUGGAGGCAGGCCUAAGCUCGCUAUUUCUCGGCCAGGAGAAAGAAGCACUGGUGCAUACAUUGCAAGCCCCAGAUCAGCAGUCACACUGAAUACCACUCCCCUUACCCCUUCACCUACCUCAGAUCUUCCCCUAUACCCACGCCAUACACCCACACCAUGGGGCAGAGAGCAGCUCCCCAAACAGCACCCUGGAUCAAUCAAGCCCAGAGCUGUUUCCUUGGGAAGUGUUCUAGAUCUAUACCUAUGGAAGAUAAUCAGCCCAUAGAAAACUAAGGGUUUUACUGCUUCAGGAGACAGAGAAAUAGAGGGAAAGACUAUAUAGGAAAAGUACUGUACUAGACAGUAAAAGAAAAAAAUGAGACCAUGGAAAUGAACUUCCUAUUAGAGGCCUGACCCAGGGCCUUUAUGACUCUUGGUAUCUGCUCCUGAGCCUCCCAGUUUAAAAAACUGACAGGAGUUCAACAGAUAAAUUUGACCUAGAGUUGAAAGAAGACAUUCAAAUUCCCAAAAGACAAUGGCUUCCAGGGACACUUGUGGGGGUUUCUGUUACUUCAUAGUUUGAACCUUUAAAUCUUAUAGUACAGGGGAUACGAUAGAACUCUCUUAGAUUCGAAUAAACCCUCAGAUUCUAUUUCUACCCCUCAAAACAACAGCCAGGGCAGUCUUUUUCACAAUUCUCAUGCUCAUCUUGGCUGAUCCUGGUGUGUUUUCUUUGCUUUGAUUUUCACAUGUACCAUCUCCUGCAGCUAAGCUUCUGUGUUAACCUCCUGUCAUCGUCUCUUUCAUGGGCAGCCCAGUAAGCCACACCUCCUGAGACUCAUGCGCUUGUACAGUCUUCUCCUCUUGAAGCUGGGCUGGCCCUGUGACUGUUUUGAGCAAUGCAUACAAUGUGGUGAAAAUUAUUUCUGGGACUCCUGAGUCCAGGCACCAAGAUCAGGAAGCUUCUCCUCUUGUAUUUAGGGGAAGCUGGCCACAUUGUAAGAAGUCGGACUAUGCUGAGACUGUCAUGAUGACAGAAAACCCAAGCUAGCCAGGUGGAGAGAUCACACAGAAAGAGAUGCCUGGCCAGCUGUUACCUGAUAUGCCAUCAUGCAAGAAGAUAAAGGAAGGACAGAGGUUAAACUAAGAGAUGCAGAAAUUAUAGUAUAUCAGCCAGGUGUGGUGGCUCAUGCCUGUAAACCCAGCCCUUUGGGAAGCCGAUGCGGGCGGAUCACGAGAUAUUAAUCCAAGGAACAAUACUGACGAAUUUCACGGACAAAAUACUAAGAAGGAAAUCAAGUGAAUCAAGCGGAGAAGAAAGACAGUGGAAAAAGAAAACUGAAAAUAAAAAUAUUUUCUAGACCCCUUGAAAUAAAGUUUGAAAAACCACAGUGCUUUGCAAAAUAUCACAUUCAAUUGCUAGCUAAAAAAAAAAUUCAUUGGAAGUGCCAUUGGGACAGCAGAGGAUGAGGAGGUCUGGUAAGGUCUCUGGCUGGUCUUGUAAACCAUACCCCAGGGUUGGGGCCAGGGUUUUUAGGCUCAGGCCUCUCUGAUAUGGUAGGAAGGUAUGAAGAGAAUCUUUUCAUCUAUUUUUUAACCAUUAAUCUUUCUCAAUGCAGCAGGAGACCAUGGGGGUCCUGGGUCUGGGGGUCUGCUUUUCUUCCGAAGCUCAGCCAGGCUCAGUAUCAAGGAGCUGACAUCAAGACACUAAUUGUGAGGGAAAGGAGAGAACAUCUUUAGAUAAGCCUACCUGCCCUGUGAUUGCCUGUGAUGGGGUUCAGGACACACUGGCCCCAAAUAUGGCACCUUGGCAUGGGAGAAAAUGGCAGAAGCAGGAAGGUCUCUCUCACCUUCCCCUCGCCCUUCUCCCUUGAAUGUUGAUGAAGAUAUGAAAUAAGGUUUGCCAAAUUACCUGCUGUAUUUAUGACCUCCCUUGAAGCAGGUCAUAAAGCCAUCAUUCCAGAGAUGCCCUCCCCAUACCCAGACCAAAGAAGGCUCCUUAUUUCUGAAGACACAGGGACACAAAGAGGAAUCUGAACAAACAGGCCUUACUAAGUUUUCCCCAGUUAAUUCCUAUUGGACAUGCCCUUUUUCCAUUCAUACUUCUCCACAAGCAUUCACUUCUUCAAUGACUUACACAAAAAAUAUACACAGGUUUAGUCCUUUCUUUGGGUCUUCAUUCCUGAAGGCUGCUGUGCCACAGAAAAUGUUAAUGCUUUUCUCUUGUUAAUCUGUCUUUUGUUAUAAAUGCCUCAGCCAUUAAUCCAAGAUGGAAAAGAAAAAUAUUCCUUUUUCCUGCUCCUAAGAGCCACCUAAUGUGUUGCAGACCAAACCCACAGCAAUCCUGUUAUCUGGGAGUUCAUCUGUGAUCUUGAUUAGAACUAACAUAGGAAAUAGAUAGAUGUGAGUUGCUUCCAGAAUAAGAUUAGAAUAUGAAAUCACAUUUAAAAUUUAAAAGCAACAUGUUAGCAACGACUCUAACCACAGUUCUCCCUUCUUUUUCAAAACCAGGGGUCUGGUCCAGAUCUUGUAUUGCCUGAAGAAGGUCCUAGGUACUACCUUUCCUGAAAGAAAGACAUGGUACUAAAGCUCCUCCAACCCACCUUUGCUCUUCUCUUACCUCAUAAAAUAGCGAGCAUCAAAUUAUUUGAGGAAAAGCAUUUAAGAAUUUUUUUUUUAGGGACAAGUUCUUGCUCUAUCGCCCAGAUUGGAGUGCAGUGGUGUGAUCUCAGCUCACUGCAGCCUCAAACUCCUGGGCUCACGCAAUCCUGCCACCUCAGCCUCUUGAAUAGCUGGGACUGCAGGCAUGCACCACCAUGAUUGGCCAAUGUUUAAAUUUUUUUGUAGAGACAAAGUCUCCCUAUGUUUCCCAGGCUGGUUUCAAGCUCCUGGGCUCAAGUGAUCCUCCCACUUCAGCCUCCCAAAGUGCUAGGAUUACAGGCAUGAGCCACCAUGCCUGGCUGGGUAUAAGAAUGUCAAUAUGCUUAGGUUUAGAUACAGUUUAGUGUUUUUCAAAUGACAGAUUGCAAUCCCUUAAAGGUUAAUAAAAUCAAUUUGGUAGGUUGCAAACAGCACUUUAAAAACAAAACAAAUAAACAAACAAACACACUAGUAUCUGAUGGUAGAUCUUGUCUUGUCUAAAGCCCUGCAGCGUGAGGCAUAUCCAGAAAAGGUCAACCCUGAGUCCCAUCUGGAGGGGCAUCCUCUCUAGGUCACCAUUUGUCACAGUCAGUUUUAGGGCUUGAGGAAAUUUAAUUUCCAUUUCAGAAACUCACUAAUCUAGUUGUGACCAAACUUUUUCCUACCAAUCUAACCAAGUUUGCUUAUAAACAAUCACACUGAGACCACAGCCUUCUUCCCCAACGUAGGUGCAGAUGAAAUAAAGAAGUUUAGAGCAGUUUUUUCUAACGUGGGCUCUGUAAUAAAAACCUGCUACAGUCAAAUAUUUGAGAAACCCUCCGUACUGUUAUCUUCUCUUAUAGAUUCCUAGCCUAUAAAAGAAGAGACCCAUUUAACUUUGUUUAACCCGUUAUGUCCUAAACUUUUUUGAUUGUGGAGUAACCUCUCUUAACAAUUCCACUACCCUAGCCUGAGCCCUUAGCCUGAUAGCUACUCCCUUUUGGGCUGACUGCAGCUGCCUGCCUCUUAGCUUUGUGACUACUGUCACACAACAUACGGUCUUUACUCAGCAGCCCAUACUAGGUCCUCACCAAUUUCUUGAUGGAGUACGAAGUAAGGUUUGCCAUAUUACCUACUCUACAAUUUGGGGACUUUAACCAUUGUAAGCCCAAUCAUCACUCUCACUUCUUAGCUUUUAUUUAAAGAGUAAGUUUGUAUUCUAAAUUGAUUUCUACAACUGCUGUUUAUGGAAUUAAGAUGAAUCCAGUGGUGGUCAGCUGAUCACUGUGGGUGAAGUCUGUUGGUUGCUUUUUACAGUAUUUUAUGUUCCUUCUUCUCUUGCUUCCUGUGUGCUGUGCUGUGAAGCAUGACAGAGCACCUGCCUGUGUGUGCACAGCACCGUGAACUCAAUCUUUCAGUCACUUUCUUUUCUUUUCAUGUUUAAAUAAGAGAUAAGCCACGUUGGCCAGGGCAUGUGGACUCUCCAUGGAGUUCACUAACAAACCGAAUUUAUGUAUCGUUGCAAAAUAGUCAACACUCCAGUCUGUUAGAAACAGGUGCCAAGAGAGGAAAUGUUUAAUAUUUUCCACGUGGCAUGGGCUCUGUCAGACAGUGUUUCCAACCAGAGUCUGUUUUCGCAGUUAAAUCAUAGGUUCAGAGUCUUCCUUUUGCCUCAAGAGUCUGUCUGGUGGCUGGCUCGCAGCUAGCUUCUGCACAAUCCCCUCACUCUGACCCUGCAUCUUCAAUGCCGCCAUUCUGCCAAACCGCUGCUACUUCUGGUAAGAGCCAGGGUGACAUACCUACCUGCCCAGAGCCACCCUUGACAGGAGACUCAGGGAGAAGUGCCCCCAGGACCAAAGCACCUGCCCAGCCCACUGGAAGAAGGAAGCUUACAAUUCUGUAUGCUUGGAACCCACCAAAGCCUGAGGCCUCACUGGCACCCAGCCAUCCACAGGAGUUAGCAGCUGUUUGAGUCCAGAAGGAAGAACUUUUGGAGUCGGAGACAAAUAAUGUUCACCACUCCACUUCCUUGUUCCUUCACACCUGCUACUUUGGAUUCAGACGAGAAGUUCCAAGAAUCCCUGAGUCCACAGCAUGACUCUGGUUUGCAGAACCUCUGUCCAGACCAGCCAGAUCAGAAUACAAAGGAAAGUGACACAUCCUGGAUCUCAACCCACUUCGAUGGGAAGUCUUCCUGAUAAAUUUAGAGAUAACCUAAAGCCCUUGGGGACUUCCUCUUGAUUUGAAUCUGCUGAACACCUGCCGCACCCCCACCGCACCCCCCCCCCCCGCCCCCCGCCACCGCAGAUGAAAACAUCAACUCUGCAGAAUUAAUGGAUAUGGGAAUCACCUGGGGACCUCUCAUUAAAUUGCAAAUUAUGAUUCAGAGGGUCUGGGGAGGGACAGAGACUCUGCAUUUCUAACAAGCUCUCCGGUGGUGCCCACGCAUCACCGGGGCCGGAGAACCUUCCAUCAUUCCAGCAAUGCUCACCAUCACUGCCAUUCUUGCUCUUCUUUCUGGGGCCGUUGCCCAUUUUCUCCAUGGUAUCCUUCUUUUUUCCUAUUCUUUUCCUCUUUUAAUCCUUUUUUUCUUCCCAGCCAACUCACUAUUCCUAUAUCCCUGCUAACCCUCAAUGCUCCUUCACUCAAAGAUGAAGAAACUCCUGCCCUUUCUUCCUCCAGACAUUCAUCUCCCUCCCUCCCUCCUCUCCUCAGCUUUGUAGUGCCAGGAAAAGAAAGAUCACCAUUUACUGACAAUUUUGUGUGAAGCACUGUCCCAAGUGCAUUACCCAUAUUACUUAACUCUCACAACAACCCUGCAAAGUACACAUUAUUUCUGCCAUUUUAGACAUGAGAAAAUUGGGACUUGGGGUGGUUAAAGAAAUCUUGUCCUCAACCAGGAAGUAGUGAUCUGAGAUUAGAAUUUAGAUCUGUCUGAGGCCAAAGUCUACAACUUCUAUACUGCACCAUGCUCAUAUAAGGUGAACAAUCUAGAAGGCAGCUGGUAGGAGUGGCUUCAGUAAAAAGGAAUGGAAUACCACGAGCUUCACCCCAUUUAUGCAUCCUGAACCCUUCACUCCACUUUUGUUAAGUACAUGCCCUAUGAGACGGUUUGACAUACCAAUAAUGAGAGCUGUUUCAAGAAUGCCCAGAUUAGCUAGGAUGGUUGGGACCUAAAUAGCACAGUAGUAAUAUUAAAGCCCAAAGUUGCCAAUAUGCUCAAUUUUCAAUGUAACCUUUUAUUAUAAAUUAAGACCCAUAACUGUACACACAGAGUCUGUUACCAAAAAAGAAAUUCCUUCCAUUGGCCAAUUAUUC
rnacentral:lncRNA from 1 species